rnacentral:rRNA from 1 species
GUUUGAUCCUGGCUCAGAUUGAACGCUGGCGGCAUGCUUUACACAUGCAAGUCGAACGGUAACAGGCCUUCGGUGCUGACGAGUGGCGAACGGGUGAGUAAUGCAUCGGAACGUGCCCAAUCGUGGGGGAUAACGUAGCGAAAGUUACGCUAAUACCGCAUAAGCCCUGAGGGGGAAAGCAGGGGAUCGCAAGACCUUGCGCGAAUGGAGCGGCCGAUGUCAGAUUAGCUAGUUGGUGGGGUAAAGGCCUACCAAGGCGACGAUCUGUAGCGGGUCUGAGAGGAUGAUCCGCCACACUGGGACUGAGACACGGCCCAGACUCCUACGGGAGGCAGCAGUGGGUAAUUUUGGACAAUGGGCGCAAGCCUGAUCCAGCCAUGCCGCGUGCGGGACGAAGGCC